rnacentral:rRNA from 1 species
UACGUACGGUGCGAGCGUUGUCCGGAAUUACUGGGCGUAAAGAGCUCGUAGGUGGUUUGUCGCGUUGUUCGUGAAAACUCACAACUCAAUUGUGGGCGUGCGGGCGAUACGGGCAGACUGGAGUACUGCAGGGGAGACUGGAAUUCCUGGUGUAGCGGUGGAAUGCGCAGAUAUCAGGAGGAACACCGGUGGCGAAGGCGGGUCUCUGGGCAGUAACUGACGCUGAGGAGCGAAAGCGUGGGGAGCGAACAGG